AGGGGGGAAAAGCAAACUGCUCUUGGGCAAGAGCCCUUUUCAAUUUUCUCCAGACUCUUCUCUUGUCCCCUUCUCUGCUCAGCUGACAUGGAGAAGCUCAUGCACCUCAUCUUCUUCGUCUUCUUAUCAGCACCCUGUGCUGCAGAGAACGUCACUGUGGUGUAUGGGAUAGAGGGGGGCACCAUUUCUGUCAACUGCACCUACAACCCCUGGCAGCAGCGGUGGAGAGAAAAGAGCUGGUGCAGGCUGAUCAACAAGACCAGCUGCCAACACGUGGUGAGUGCCCGACGCUUCUGGCUGCCGUUCCUAAAGAACAGGAAUGGCACCACCUCCAUCAGUGACAAUGUCCACGAAGGGGUCCUGACAGUGACCAUGAAGCGACUCAAGAAGGAGGACGCGGGGCUGUACCAGUGUAAAAGUGACUACCUGGGGGAAACAAAGAGCUUAAGGAAGGUCCAAGUGGAAGUGCUGACAGCUGUCCUGGAGACCCAAAUGCCAGAGGAGCCGAGGGCUGUGCAGGGCAUCUCCAGCAUCCCUCCUGAAGCUGAUUUCACUGUCCUCUAUAUCAUUGCUGGAUUCCUGGUUACUAAAUUUGUGGUGGCUGUGCUGAUCUUUAUCAUUGGCAUGAGCAGGAAGAACAGAGAAACAGAGCAGAACCCAAAUGAGCACCAAGUCCUCCCUUUCGCUGGUAACCUUGCACAUGGUGGCAUGAGCCCCUCCUGGGACAGCACUGCUUAGAGCUAAACCAAAGGGAAUCCCCAGGGAAAUGAACACGAAGCAUCCACAGGCAAAGCUUCACCACCUGCCGUUAAAAAAAGAUUAUCUACUAAACACAGGCAUCAAUGAACCCAUCACUCCAUCUAGAGAGGGAACGUCACCAGCUACCACCUCUUCUCAUUGGUGCUGACCAACCUUUUCCAACACAACUGAACUGAGAAGAUGCUGCCAGUAAUACCUGAAACUAAUGGAAGAGGAUGGGAUUGGGGGCUGGGGGAAAGGAAGAAAACUAAAUCUUUCUGUUAGGAGAUCCAGCACAGACUUAUCUAUGUGCGGAGAUGCUUCCCCAGGCAUGUACAGGUGAGAGCCCUGCUCAGUUUCCCUCUGGCUCAUUGCUAGGCCAGAAAAAAAACUUCGCUGCUCUGUACAGCUACUGGCAAAUUCUGUGUUAUAAAUAAAACUACAGACACACCAGUGAACACAAGCAGAAAUUCAGGUAACACAUCUCAACCACCAUAUCUUGAGCAACUCACAAACACAGACACCAAAUGGAAAGACAUGGUUCUGUCUCAAAUCUCCACGAAACUUCUCCUGAUUCAUUGAAGAUCAGUGUUAAAGAACUUUUGUCAAGGUCUCCCAUGUGACUCAAAUGCUUCCCCCAAAAGCAUGGAAUAUAACCAGAACUAGAUGGUUUGUAUUGAAAGCUAGUAGUAUUUGUCUAGAAAUCAGCUUUUUAACUGGGACUCCACUCUCUAAAGACUGAAGUUUUGACACACCUUUGGCAAUGCAAUGCUCUGCUGUCAUCUCCAGUCACUGCCAGCAGCUGCACCACACCACCAGGCAGUUAUUCCAGAUAGGCAUCCCCAGUAUCACACCACCAGGGUCUGAACUAAGACCCAUCAACUUCAUGUCAUCUCGGAGCAGUGCCAGGUGAGACAUUAUGUCUUUCCAUGGUGAGGAAGACUAGCUCCCCAAAAUUGCCUUGGACAGUGUGGAUCCUCGGUGAACAGUCACUGUGGAAAGGCAUAAGGGACUUGAGAACCUAACAGAAAGGAACGUGAAGUCUACGUGCAGCUCUGAACUUGCUUCCUCAUUUCUCAAAUGAUUUUGCAAACAAAGAAUGAACUGCCUCUGUAUUUCUCCCUGUGUUUUUUCUGCCCUCUCAAGAGGAUGUUACCAACAUGUGAUCAUUAUUCAUCAAUCCCCAAAGUGAAGCUGGAUUUAGCUCUCCCAGGAAGACCCCAAACCUAAGGGCAUUCACACUUCUUUUCCUUAUACUGCCUGCAAAGCUAAAUAAAA